rnacentral:rRNA from 1 species
UACUAUCCCGCCGNUUACGCGGGGAAUCGAUUAGAGUCUGAUCCUGUUUCANGACGAACGCUGGCGGCGUGCUUAACACAUGCAAGUCGAACGGACUGUUAGUGAAAGCUUGCUGGAUCUAACAGUUAGUGGCGGACGGGUGAGUAACACGUGAGAACCUAUCCCGACCCGGGGGACAACAGGUGGAAACGCCUGCUAAUACCCCAUAGGCGCAGAGUAUGCUGUGCAAAGGAGCAAUCCGGUGCGAUGUGGAGUGUGUGCUCUGCGAGACCUAUCAGCUAUGUAGCGUGGGGUAACGGCCCACCUAGGCGAUUGACGUGUGUAGCCGGCCUGAUGAGGGCGCACGGCACACUGGAACUGAGACCACGGUCCANACUCCUACGGGAGGCAGCAGUGGAGGAAUCUUGGGCAAUGGGGGCAACCUGACCCAGCGACAGCCGCGUGAUGUUGACUGAAAUUCCUUGGGAUGUAAACCUCUGUUUGUAGCGGUACGAAGGACGUGACGGUACCGCACGAGGAAGCCCCGNCAACUACGUGCCAACAGCCGCGGUAAUACAGUACGGGGGCGAGCGUUGUCCGUGANUUACUGGUGCGGUUNANGCGCAACGCAGGNCGCGGGUUUGUA